ensembl:lncRNA
GAGAGAGACUUCCAUUCAUGUUUUUGAAAGGUGUAUUCACCGGGAGGUGCGCUAUGAAUAAAAAUGUUCCUCGACCUCCAUAAAUCGUGGAGCUAUAUUAGCGAACUAUGAACUGCACCAUGGAACAGAAUUUCUGCAAAGGUGGCCUAUAAAUCUGUGCGUGACUGCAAAAAGUAAAGCCUUUUUCUGCAGUCUAGAGAAAUGCAGGUAUCUGUAUACAUGCAUGCCCAUACAUGUACAGUAAUGGUGCUAGGGGACUUUUUUGGUGGAGAAAGUAGGCGGACCGACUGAAUUCAGUUACUGAAACUUGAGUGUGCCUACACGUGCUGCUCUGUAUGCAUGUGAAACAACCUACCUUUAAAAUUGUUGAUUCAGAGCCUCAUCUUGGGUUAUUCAUUUAUUUGUUGUUUGGGAAACAAAUGUAACUUUUCCUCAUGCUUCUGUAAAGUAUGUCUUGAGCAGCGAGGUCUCUAUACACGCUGGGGCCUUAAGAUGGAGUCAGCCUCUUUGUACCCCACAAAAUGAUGUUGCACAUUCUGCACUACCCAUUUACUACUCAUAGCUGCAAUUUUCCAUCAUUCAACUUCCAAGAGGAGAAGGACGAAAAUAUGAAUAAAAGUGACACUGAGGACACCUUUUCAGACUCCAGGCUAGCCCCUGAAGCAACCAGCACCAGGCUUCCAGCUGAUCACACGUUGCCUAGGAACAAACCCUCUCACAGCAGAUUGGUUGCUCAUGCCGACUCCUGCAGUAGCAUGAGCAGUGAUGGCCAGUCCAGCUACAGCCCUUACCAGCCUCCCUUGGGUCUCCCAUCAGGUUACAGUCCCAAGACACCCUUUCCCAGCCAGGUGGAGGGUUGUUUCAGUACCCUAGAGCCCCACAAUGAGGACUGGCUCCAGUCGCGCUCAUACAACAGCUCAGUGGGGGGAUACUCCAGUGGCAGCCAUCUGUCCUGCCUGGUGUCAGGAGAUUACUGCACUUACCGGAGUGAAACCUGCUGCUCUCCCUCUUUGUCAGAGAAUCACAGUCCAGGUGUGAGCAGUUUGGAGCAACCCCACUCUCUGCACUCUAUCCCUACAACUUUAGCCCAGCAUGGCUUCUACCUGGCCCCGUGCUCAUGCUCCUCACAUGGGCCACCAUGCAGUAGGCCAGACCAACAACAUGCUUACUGGGAUAAUCCACAUGCCCUAUCAUACCACAUGCCAUGGUCUUCAUGUCCCAAGAACAGUAAGCAGUCAGAUCAAGAAUUUAUUCAUAGGCACUCUUUUCACCCUCAGCCAAGGAGCACAAGCAUAACACCACUCUCCUUAGAGCAGCG